UUUAUACUCCCUCCGUCCCAAAAUUCUUGUCUUAGAUUCGUCUAGAUACGGAUGUAUCUAAUACUAAAACGUGACUUGAUACAUCCGUAUUUAGACAAAUCUAAGACAAGAAUUUUGGGACGGAGGGAGUAGCAU
rnacentral:pre_miRNA from 1 species